UGAGGAAUAUUGCACAAUGGGCGAAAGCUUGAUGCAGCAACGCCGCGUGAGGGAUGAAGGCCUUCGGGUCGUAAACCUCUUUUCUGAGGGACGAGACCAGGACGGUACCUCGGGAAUAAGUCUCGGCUAACUACGUGCCAGCAGCCGCGGUAAAACGUAGGAGGCGAGCGUUAUCCGGAUUUACUGGGCGUAAAGCGCACGCAGGCGGCUUCGUUAGUCGGAUGUUAAAGCUCCUGGCUUAACUGGGAGAGGCCAUCCGAUACUGCGGGGCUUGAGGUUGGGAGAGGGGUGUGGAAUUCCCGGUGUAGUGGUGGAAUGCGUAGAUAUCGGGAGGAACACCUGUGGCGAAAGCGACACCCUGGCCCACACCUGACGCUGAUGUGCGAAAGCGUGGGUAGCA
rnacentral:rRNA from 1 species